CUUGCUCUCUGGGUGACGAGCGGCGGACGCGGUGAGUAAUGUCUGGGAAACUGCCUGAUGGAGGGGGAUAACUACUGGAAACGGUAGCUAAUACCGCAUAACGUCUUCGGACCAAAGUGGGGGACCUUCGGGCCUCACGCCAUCAGAUGUGCCCAGAUGGGAUUAGCUAGUAGGUGGGGUAAUGGCUCACCUAGGCGACGAUCCCUAGCUGGUCUGAGAGGAUGACCAGCCACACUGGAACUGAGACACGGUCCAGACUCCUACGGGAGGCAGCAGUGGGGAAUAUUGCACAAUGGGCGCAAGCCUGAUGCAGCCAUGCCGCGUGUGUGAAGAAGGCCUUCGGGUUGUAAAGCACUUUCAGCGAGGAGGAAGG
rnacentral:rRNA from 1 species